GUGCUUGUACUGCCUUCCAAAGUGAAGAGGAGAUGAACAUGGCUUUGCAUAGCUGUUGUUCUAUGCCAACUUACCUACUCUUGCUGGUACCGUAGUGGCAUAUUGCAAAUUUCGUGGACGAACAACUCUAGUCACUAGUGGCUAGUGAGCAACACUAACAGAGCCUUGACGUUGCUGGACGAGCGACAAUAUAAAUUACAUAAACAUGUAGCUCGUGAUGUGGGAUGACUGCCGUAUCGCAUUGCCAACGCAAACCCAUCCUGUGUCAGUGCAGCCAUCCAGCAACUUGAACUCCCCGGACCAGAUGCCGCUGCAGCUGAACACCAUGCCGAUGGAAAGCCAGGAGUUGAUAGCGAAGCAUUCUGGUCUGCACAGUACAAGGCAAAGAACAAUUAUGAAUUAUAAUGCAUUGUAAUCUUUCCCACACUUCUUUGUAAAAACAAACAAACAGUGCCAUUAUCACAACACUUGAUCAAGCAUCUUGAUGGAGGUAUUUUCCAUUGUGCUGGCUCAGCAUCUGCACCAGGAAGACCAUGUACACUUA